UCAAAAACAUCGCUAAAAUAAACUUUUAGUCCAAUCUGCCCAGUGUAUUUAUAAACGGCCGCAGUAUCCUAACUGUGCUAAGGUAGCAUAAUCAUUAGUCUUCUAAUUAAAGACUCGUAUAAAUGAUCUAACGAGAAACUUUCUGUCUCAGUAAGACAUCUUAAUUUAGAAAGGAAGUCAAAAUCCUUCCAAAUUCCAAAAGGACGACAAGACCCUAUAAAACUUUACUUUUUUAAAGGGCCUACCCUUAGAAUAUAAUAUCCUUCUAAAGUUUUACUGGGGCGGUAAUUUAUACCUAAAACAAAAUUUAUACAAACAACCUGAAUGACUUUUAUAAACACUUUAAGUAAUAAAGAACAAGUUACUUUAGGGAUAACAGCGUUAUUCUUCUUUAGAGUCCUUAUCGACAGAAGAGUUUACGACCUCGAUGUUGAAUUGAGAACCCAGAAUAAAGCAGCUCUUAUUCUAAGGAAGUCUGUUCGACUUUWMAWMUCUCACAUGAUCUGAGUUCAAACC
rnacentral:rRNA from 1 species